UGCCCAGCAACUCCUAUCCCUACCUCCACGCGGUACCGGCCGGAAACUAUGAGCAACCUUAGGGAAGAUCGGGUAACCAACCCCGGUGGGAGCUUUGAUCGUAGGCUGACAGGGAAGG
rnacentral:ribozyme from 1 species